UCCGUAGGGGGCUAGCGUUGUCCGGAAUCAUUGGGCGUAAAGCGCGUGUAGGCGGCCCGGUAAGUCCGCUGUGAAAGUCGGGGGCUCAACCCUCGGAUGCCGGUGGAUACUGUCGGGCUUGAGUACGGAAGAGGCGAGUGGAAUUCCUGGUGUAGCGGUGAAAUGCGCAGAUAUCAGGAGGAACACCAAUUGCGAAGGCAGCUCGCUGGGACGUUACUGACGCUGAGACGCGAAAGCGUGGGGAGCAAACAGG
rnacentral:rRNA from 1 species